UACGGGGGGGGCAAGCGUUGUUCGGAAUUACUGGGCGUAAAGGGCUCGUAGGCGGCCAACUAAGUCAUACGUGAAAUCCCUCGGCUUAACCGGGGAACUGCGUCUGAUACUGGAUGGCUUGAGUUCGGGAGAGGGAUGCGGAAUUCCAGGUGUAGCGGUGAAAUGCGUAGAUAUCUGGAGGAACACCGGUGGCGAAGGCGGCCUGCUGGGACGUGGCUGACGCUGAGGCGCGACAGCGUGGGGAGCAAACAGG
rnacentral:rRNA from 1 species